rnacentral:rRNA from 1 species
UGAGUUAUGUCAUGUUAUCGAUAUGUGAAUACAUAGCAUAUCAGAAGGCACACCCGGAGAACUGAAACAUCUUAGUACCCGGAGGAAGAAAAAGAAAAUUCGAUUCCCUUAGUAGCGGCGAGCGAAACGGGAAGAGCCCAAACCAACAAGCUUGCUUGUUGGGGUUGUAGGACACUCUAUACGGAGUUACAAAGGACGACAUUAGACGAAUCAUCUG